GAGGUCCUCCAGGAGAGCAAGGAAGAGGAAUGUUUGAGCAUCAAUUCCAUGGAGAAGAAAUUCACUGAGCUAACAAAAUUCAGAAGAAGGCUGGCUGACACCCAAAUAAAGGACAACUGGAUCGGGACAGGAUGUCCUGAAGGGAGGUAGGGGUCUCACCAGGGCACAAAUGGAGGCUAGCUCAGUGCCGGUGCUUGGUAGCAUAAUAAUAACAGCAACAAUUGAUUGAGCACCUAUUGUCUGUGACAAACACUCUUCUUGGGUUGUUCAUUUAUUCCCUUCAGGAAACUUCUGCAGAGGAACUCUUUCUAGCUUCCCUUUACACAUGAGGAAGACUGAGGCUUGGAGGUGUAAGUAACCUGCAGAGCCAGGGCCCUGAAGGCACACCCUCUGCCUCCAAUGAAGCUGGCUGGCCUCCUUUCUGCUUUGCCACCAACUGUCCGCCCACCCCAGUGCUGCCUCCCAUCUCUGUGCACCCAUACCCAACUUCUUACUUGAACUGGUGCUCCCGGGAGCUGCGGAUUUUGGAGGAGAAGCGCUCAGCCAGCUUCUCCAGGCUGCGGGAGUACUCGAGCUCAAUCUCAGCUUUCCGGCGGAAAAACUCCUGGAGGUCUUGAAGCAGCUGCAGUCGCGACUCUGAUUGCUGCUCCAGACAUUUGAACUGCUCCACCAGCUGCGUGCGGAUCUCUGCGGGCACACAAGGGAAAAAGAGCAACUGCUCACUCGUCCAGAAUCUAUGAUGCAGUGUCCCAAAAUGUCGAGACAUCUGGGUGUCAAAAGGAAAAAUAGACCAUUUAAAAUGUUCAUGUUGGCCAGGCAUGGUGGCUCAUGCCUUUAAUCCCAGCACUUUGGGAGGCCGAGGCGGGUGGAUCACGAGGUCAGGAGGUGGAGACCAUCCUGGCUGACACAGUGAAACCCUGUCUCUACUAAAAAUACAAAAAUUAGCCAGGCAUAGUGGCAGGCGCCUGGAGUCCCAGCUACUCUGGAGGCUGGGGCAGGAGAAUCACUUGAACCCAGAAGGUGGAGGUUGCACGCCAUUGCACUCCAGCCUGGGCGACAGAGCAAGACCCUGUCUCAAAAACUAACUAACUAACUAACUAACUAACUAAAUAAAUAAAUAAAUAAAUAAUGUAAAAUGUUCAUGUUACACAUGUUCUCAGUUAUAAGUGGGACCUAAAUAAUGUGUGCACUUGGAUGUACAGUGUGGAAUGCUAGAGAACAGAGACUCAGAAGGGUGAGGGGGUGGGAGGGAGGUGGAUAAUGAGAAAUUACUUAAUGGGUGUAAUGUACAUUAUUUGUGUCAUGGGUACCCAAGAAGCCCUGGCUUCACCACCACACAAUCUAUGCAUGUAACAAAAUUACACUUGUACUCCAUAAAUUUAUACGUAAAUAAAUACAUGUACAAAGUUAUAUUCUCUUCAAAUAAUAAAAAGUGUUUUUAAAAA